rnacentral:lncRNA from 1 species
CCUUUUUCACAGUAUAAAACUUGACAAGUUAAAAAAAGAAGUAGGGGGCAGGAAAGUAAUAGAAUGGAUUUUAAUCACUCCUUUAAAGCCAGACUAUUUGGCACAAAAGUAAAUCUGCCUAGAUGUUCUUGCAAUAUCUUGACCUUCCAUUCAGUGGAGUGUGUGAUCUCCAGGCUGACAUAGGCCAGUUUCUGAGAUGCUGCUGUAUCACGCCCCUCCAUUCUAAAAUUUUCCCCUUGGGGAAAGUUUGGGGGCCUGCUCUCUCUCAUUCUCCACCUUUUCCCAUUGUAGGGCAUUUGAGGAAGUGGCAGAAAUCUCUCUAAAUUUUCCAUUUUGACAGUAAAUUCUGGUUUUUAGAACUUAUCUUCCAAACUAGAGACUCAUUAGCAUUUAAGUGACUGUCACUAAGAAGUUGCUUAGGAUAUUCCUUGCAUCACGACCUGGAAG